CGACUCCAUCCGCCUAAACGAGUCUGUCCUUCGUUUAACUCCUAUCAGUAAUUAAUAAAACGCCACCAAGUGCUCCUUGCCCGAAGAGAUGUCGCGUGAAAGUAGAAACUCGAUUGAAGAGAAAACAAUAUAUUUUUUGUGAUGUGUUAAUAUCGACUCGAGAGGAAACGAGUGUAUCCUUUAAAACAAUGCGAUUAUCAUCUGCGUAAUUUACAUCGCCGUGAAGUGUUUCUUACGGAAGAAAAUAUUAGUUAAUGAAUGACAAAUGAGAUCAUCGUUGACGUUCUGUUUAUGUAGACUUCAAAUAAUUCUUUUUUAAAAAAAAUAUUUCUCGUAGAAUUUCUUGAACGUUAACGACGUCUUUCGAUUUUUAUUUGCAUGAUCGAAACAAUUAUUAAAAAAAAAUCUGAAUUUGUUUAACGCAAUACAUCCCAAAAAAUACGUACCCUAAUUAUUAUAAAUUGUCGAAUUAACCGUUCCCAUAUAGCACAUUUCUUUCAAAAUAUUCAAUGUUCCUCUCUUCGAGUCUAAAACAACAUUGAAUAUGAUCGUAUAUUAGUUUCUAAUUAUUUACAUCGUUCGUCCUUUUAUUGAAAACAUUAUACACAAGGAAAUGACAUUCGUCAAAUAAAGAAACGAUAAUUCACUGCUUAUACUCUUCCAGGAAAGAGAGAGAGAGUACAAUAUAAACAGAGAGUAUUCCAAGUACAUCCUUUGAGAGAGCCUUUAGAUCUGUUUUUUAUUCUCUUGGCUUAUAUUAUACGACUCAUACCAUUCCUUCUUUUACAAUAGCGAAAGAAGAAAAGAGAAAAAAGAGAAAGAGAGAGAGAAAGAGACAAAAAAACAAGAGAGAGGAAUAAAAAGCACAGAAAACGACAUAUCUUGAACGGUAGUUCAUUAAAGCAGAGGGACGACUCGACUUAACCCCUCGCCGAUGAAACUGAGUCACGUCGUGCAGCCGGCUGGCCGUAUAUGCAAAUCACUCGCGUGGGGUAUUCCCCUUUUCUCUCUCUUCCUAUUUCCCUUUCUCUUCGCUAACAUUGAGUGGAAAAAAAAGAGACUUCGAUGGUGGGGAUGAACGAGAAAGCUCAUUAGUUUUUUUUCUAUCGUGAUAGGGGUAUUCCGUUGGUAAACGGCAGCCAUCGUAACUUCCCUCACAGUUACCACUACUACUGCUACCACUACUCCUUCCACCACCACAAGCAUUGACCACCAAACUGCUCUUGAAUUGUUUAUGCGAGAGCACGCUUUAUGGUACGGUAGGUGGGUUUAUAUCGGUGACCCAGAAACAUAUCGUACUUUUAUACGAAUUAUCGAGUACGACGAUAUAGGUUAUGUUUUUAUUGUUUUUUUUAUUUAUAUAAACAAUUAAAGAAAGAACAAAUUUCAUUGCCUUUCUGCUAUAUUAUGUAUAACUUAUUUUUAAUGUAAUAUAUUUUAACGAUAAUAACAAUUAUGAAGAAUAAAUUAUUCUUUUUUAAAAGUAACACAUUACGAAUAAUAAGUUAAUGCGAUAAUUUAGAUUUCACUCUGACUUCGUCGUUUCCCGAGUCAGUGAUUCGUAAUAACGUAUGCAAGCGCUAACACGCGAGAGAAAUCGUUCGAUAAAUCAAAUCAGAGAGUCAUUGUACAUUCGCGGCCUUCUCAGGUAUAGCACAGGAUUGCCAAAAUUGCGUUGGAGAAAGAGAGAGAGAGAGAUAGAGAAAGGGAAAGAGAAAGAGGGUAGAUGAAAAUGAUUGAGAGGAAAAAGGAGCGAGUCGUGAGAAUGAAAAGCGCAAGGAAGGAUAUUCAAAUUUGGAACCCUCGUUAGUCCUCGAAUUUCUCAAUGUGCAAUAAUUUAUCAUCGGGCCCCGCUGAGGUGAACGAUCGUACAAUACCGGACUACCUGCAUGCAUAAUUUAUCCGGAUUUUCAAGAAAGAAAGAAAGAAAAAAGAAGGAAGGAAGGGCCCAAAAAGAAAAGGGUUGCUUCCGCAGGAACGUAUAUCGAUUCUUUUAUUUUUCCUUUUUUACCCUUCUAGUACGUAAACGGAAUAAAAUGAUAAGUAAAAAAUUAAAUUCACCGAUAUGCGUUUAUUAAAUCACGAGAUGAACUUGCAGACAAAAUUUCUAGCAAGUUGCACCGUAGUCGAAAGAUUCAGUAUUGAACAAGAUCAAAGUAUUUUUUCUAGCUAGAAUAAUCCACAGCAAAAGGGAUAAAAAGUUCAACGAUACAGCCCUGGACCCUUCGCACAGGAUCCUACAUGUCACUGGUGUGUACCUGUGAGACCAGGAAGGAGCCCUCAACCCUUUUCCUUAGAGAAGGAGAGACCUCUUUUUAUGCGUGCAUCAGGAAAAAAGCAAGAAAAAGAGAGAGAGAGAGAGAGAGAGAAGAGGAAAAGGAAACUUCCCUCCCUCUCGGAUGCUAGCAAUCCUACCCCACCGGUUUCAUCCUGCUUUUUCACGAUGAAAAGGCCUCCAAUGGGGGUUGAUUCAAUGGUAUUCUAAUUAUAUGCAAAGACGUACGACUGCGAUGUACCAUCGGUCUCUUAUUUGCGAUAAGAUAUAUGUAUGUAUGAGACGAGAGACUAUCGAUGAACGUAUGAGUUAUCGCCGGUGCCCAAAUUGCUUGCCAAGCGCGGUGAUGUAGAGCUCCAGGCCGAAGAUUUAUUUCUCGAAUGGAAUGGUAAGUUAGUAAAGCUCUAAGCCGCGUAGCGUCAAGCUCAAGGAACCGAAGUCUCGCCUCGUUUCAUGGCUGAAUGUAUCAACGCGAGCAACGUACUCAAGACUCGAUUUUUUCAGUAGACUUCAUCGUGCUCCCACAUUAUUUCCUUCCUUCGACACCGCACAAGCCCAAUUUCACGGGAACCUCCCUCUUACUGAUCGUAAGGCAAAUGAAAGGUUAUAUUAUAUAUGUAGAAUAUAGAACAGAAUAGUAAAAAUGUCUCCGAUUGAUCAAUUAAAUUUGAAUAUUUCAACGACGGUAUAUGGAUUUCAAAAUGAAAAUAACAUAUGAAAUGUUUUUACAUAGAGAUAUCUUAUUGAAAAAGAUAAAAAUAUUAUCUGUAUUUUCGUCACAAAUGGAAGAAACAUUAAGCGAUACAAUUUUUAGCAAUAGUCUGUUCUUUGAUGUCAUUCUUAAAGAAUCCAAGAACGCCAGGAGGAAAUAUCGAUAUUCCGUGGCUGUAUCGGCCAAAAUUUCAAGCAUGGCCGAGCCGUUUGAUGACAAACGCACCCUCGCAGGCAGAGAGUGGAAGCCGAAAUGCGUCCACCCCGCCUAUUCGAGGGGGAUGAAUUCGACCAAUUGAUGGGUUUCGAGUUGGGCCUGGAUCAAUCAACGAACGGCGUCGUUCAAAGCCAGUGGCCAUUCCUACACCACUGACCUCGUUCGUUGCUUUUUCCUUUUUCAAAAGCAAAUUGGAUUUUUAAUCCCAUGCGUAUGCCGACACAGGACAGUACUCUAUCCAAAUUUCGUUUCGUGUCUUUCGAUACGCUUUAAUCUUUGAAACAUCCUACAAAUAUGCAAACUUAUUCGAGUGGACAAAAACAGUCGAAAUUCUGCGUGAAAUUCUUUGUGAUAUUUUCAAAUAAUAAAUAAUACAAUAUAAACCUUUAAUUUGUAAUCAUCAAAGAAAUACAAAUAAAUAAUUAUUUAUACAAAAUUGUUGACCAAUCGUGAUACCUUUUACGAGUUAGAUUACGAUGUCUUCGUUAGGGAAAAAAGAAGAUUACAAUUUGCGGUUUAGCAGCACACAUACACACGAUACCGUUUAUUUAACCCCAUUUCUACCGCAAGUUUGCUUUUGUGUAUCGAAAAUCCGGUUAAACGAGCCGACGAUCGAUUCGAUCGGACAGCCAUAAUAUCGCGGAGAUGCUUCUCAACUCGCGAUACGUGUGGAAAGGCAACGUAACGCAACCCUAUCUCCUCUAGCUCUCGUUUUUCUCGGAGCCGCUUAAAAUGUCUACCUGACGUGUUCCCCCUUUCUUAUCCUCUCUCAUUCUCUCUUUCUCUCUUAGAUGUUCAGAAUAAUAUGUAUAAGAGAAAAGAAACGCGUAGCAUAAUACGAUCCUGCCCUUACUCGUCCUUGCGAGGAUAAUGCGCAGGAUAGGAUACAUUUAUCCUAACCGAGACCCUGUUUCUAUUUUUUAUACCGACCCAUGCGUGAAUUAUUAGCAUAUGGUAUUUGAUAUAUUCGAUAGUUUACCAAGAUAAUACUAUAGUUUGCAUUAUAUUGUACGUUAGAAUGAGCUCGCUGAACCAACAUUUUCCUUUUACAUAUUUUAAUCCCAUUUAUGUUAGGAAAUAACGAAAGACAGUCCUCCUAUGUUCUAGGAAAAACUAAUUCAAAGAAACUAAUUUACCAUAGAGGUCUCAAGCGUAUUCAGGAAAAUCAAUUUGCAAGAUAUUUGGCGAGAUGCUACGAGGUAAAUAAAUUUCACCUAUUAAACUGUA
rnacentral:lncRNA from 1 species